GCCAGGUGUGGUGGCGGGUGCCUGUAAUCCCAGCUACUCGGGAGGCUGAGGUGGGAGGAUAGCUAGAGCCCAGGAGUUCUGGGCUGCAGUGGGCUAUGCCAAUCGGGUGUCUGCACUAAGUUCAGCAUCAAUAUGGUGACCUCCUGGGAGCAGGGGACUACCAGGUUGCCUAAGGAGGAGUGAACCAGCCCAUGUCGGAAAUGGAGCAGGUCAAAACUCUUGUGCUGAUCACUAGUGGGACUGCGCCUGUGAAUAGCCACUGCACUCCAGUCUGGACAACAUAGCGAGAUCCCAUCUCU
rnacentral:SRP_RNA from 1 species